CAGCCUGCGGUGCUGACUGAUGAAUGGGAGACCAGCCAGGAAGGGGCUUCCUCCCAUCAGAUGCUCCGUGAGCACCAGCCAGUGGCUGUGACUGACCGUGUCAUUCCUUUUCACCAAGUGUUAAAAGACAAACGAAGCUGGUGGAAAGACCUGGCUCCAGGACAGGAGGGCAGACGGCAGGCUGGGCGCGUUUCUUCCCUGGCCGGAUGUGGCCCCUGCUCACCAAUGCCUGGAGAGAAAAGGUCUCCAGCCAGAAACCUGAACAUCAUCUGCACCGGGAUUCCUUCCACUACCUCAGGACCAGCAACCAUCAAAGCAGCCACCAUUUCCAAGCAGCUGCAUGCUGCUGCCUGCUCUGAGUUGUGCACCUGUGCUCUUGCAGUCGCUGCUUCUCGUGGCUCCCUAUGCCAUCCAUUUAUCCACUUUGCCAUUUGAUUUAUGUUUCAAAAUACAAAUCUGGGCCUGUCCUGCUCAGCCUCUAUAACCAUCGGUGACUCCCCACUCACCUGGACAUUGGGCCCAAUGUCGUUUCAUGACCAGAGCUUUCUCCACGGGUCUUUCCAGCUUCAUCUUUUGGCAUUCUUUGCUUGCCACAUCUUUUGGUCUCACUGAUGGAUCUCACUAUAUACAUUCUUCUGUCUUGCAUUUUAAUGCUAUUCACGUCUCAUCUCUCUUCUAGCAUUUCCGUCUUCUCCAUGACUGCACAAAUAAGUCAUUAAAUGUAUCCAGUGGCCCCAGAGUUUUAAAACACGAUGUUUAAAGACAUGUUACUCAGUUCUGUUUGGAAUUUAGUUCUGGGAAAAUCUGUACCAAUAGUAUAUUUUGAGAAGAGUUGUUGUUUUUUUUUUUUCAAGUAGAAGGAACUUAGAUAUCAAAUGCCUUCUGGUAAAGUUUCAUUGAUAUGUCAGAAAUACCCAGGCAAUGGGCUUAUGGCAAACAUGAGGCUUCCAGCCCAGAAGGGUAAUGGCAUGGUAAGUAAGGAUGCUGUAUUGGGGUCAAGUGGCCUUCCGGAAUUCCUCUUGUGUCACGGAACAGAGCCUUGGAGCAGCAAGAGCCUCCAGGGGAACCUGGCAUUCGCUGGCGUGUCACCGUGUGACCACUCAUGAGACAAACAUGACCCGCAGCUGAUUCUUGGCCUCUUGCAACUUCAAAGCCCUCAUCCCAGUGAGUUUGGAAUGAGAACAAGACCUCCAGGCUACAGGAACUGGAAGGGUGAAAAAAUCACAUUGGUGUCCUCUUUGUCUUCCUGUGACAGGUGAUGAUAACUCUCAUUGCCCUUGAAAAAGGUCUCAGUUGCAAACACCUAGGGUUGGUCCAUCUGGGUCUCUCUGUAUGCCUCUCUCCAGCCCCACUGCCAACCUUGUCAGUCGUCCAACCUGCCCUCUCUGGAUGGGCCAAAAUCCUACUGGCUCCUCUUGUUCUCCUGAGAAUAGGA
rnacentral:lncRNA from 13 species